CGUGGGCAAUCUGCCCUGCACUCUGGGACAAGCCCUGGAAACGGGGUCUAAUACCGGAUACUGAUCAUCUUGGGCAUCCUUGGUGAUCGAAAGCUCCGGCGGUGCAGGAUGAGCCCGCGGCCUAUCAGCUUGUUGGUGAGGUAACGGCUCACCAAGGCGACGACGGGUAGCCGGCCUGAGAGGGCGACCGGCCACACUGGGACUGAGACACGGCCCAGACUCCUACGGGAGGCAGCAGUGGGGAAUAUUGCACAAUGGGCGAAAGCCUGAUGCAGCGACGCCGCGUGAGGGAUGACGGCCUUCGGGUUGUAAACCUCUUUCAGCAGGGAAGAAGCGAAAGUGACGGUACCUGCAGAAGAAGCGCCGGCUAACUACGUGCCAGCAGCCGCGGUAAUACGUAGGGCGCGAGCGUUGUCCGGAAUUAUUGGGCGUAAAGAGCUCGUAGGCGGCUUGUCACGUCGGUUGUGAAAGCCCGGGGCUUAACCCCGGGUCUGCAGUCGAUACGGGCA
rnacentral:rRNA from 2 species